rnacentral:rRNA from 1 species
UACAUAGGGGGCGAGCGUUGUCCGGAUUUAUUGGGCGUAAAGAGCGUGUAGGCGGCCAGGUAGGUCUGCUGUGAAAACUCGAGGCUCAACCUCGAGACGUCGGCGGAAACCAUCUGGCUAGAGUCCGGAAGAGGAGAGUGGAAUUCCUGGUGUAGCGGUGAAAUGCGCAGAUAUCAAGCGGAACACCAGUGGCGAAGGCGAGUCCCUGGACAACACCUGACACUGAGGCACGAAAGCUAGGGGAGCAAACAGG